AGUGCGCGCCACGUAAUAGGUGCUCAAGCCCGCGUUAUUCGCGGCGAUGAGUUAAACGGGAAGUCCGGUGAGGCGUGUUCAUACAGAACACCACCAAGUCCGACGCUGCCCCCGCAACGGUAAGCCACUGUCGAGUACAAGAUAGGGCAAGCCCGGAACCGGCCUACUACCGAUUCACCCG
rnacentral:ncRNA from 2 species